GUCUUCGUGUUGUAAUGGAGAGCACGAUCGGUUGGCAAUCGGGAGGUCCGGGACUCUAAUCCCGGUGAAGACA
rnacentral:tRNA from 1 species